rnacentral:misc_RNA from 1 species
AAGUCGUAACAAGGUUUCCGUAGGUGAACCUGCGGAAGGAUCAUUAACAACAUAUCCUAACUAAAAAACCCUGUGAACUUUCAAUGUCCCGAACCUUUGAUCCGAGGACUUCAGCAAUCUCUGGUAAAUCAUAGUGAACAGCUUUUGAUUCAGAGACCUCUGGCCCGUGAGAUUCUUUGAGACGUUACAAUUUUGAGCGGUAGUUCUAUAGGCCUUGUUUCCCCAAGCAGUCAGUGUCUGAAAGUGUCAUUGAUUGUGCAAGGAUAACGCUUCACGAUUCUUGUAGACCGCAUCUCGCGGGCAGGAGCUAGGCCAAAGGGUCCCCAUGCCCCCUUACAACCCCACAGUUUAAUGUGAAGCUCAAUGUAAUACAUUGGGUAAAAAAACCGAACAACUGUUAACAAUGGAUAUCUUGGUUCUC